UGGUGUACCUCUGAUAACGAACCAACCACUGCAACAAUCACCAUUGACCUGUAACAAUUUCACCUUGACCGAAGUGGCACCUUUCUCAACAAUGAAUAACCAACACGAAAGGGAGAAAGUAAAGAACAAAGCAUGGAGGCGUAAAUGAAAAAAAGGAAAGAAACCAACUUAAAAAGGAAGAAGAAAGCACAUGGACAUUUACGGAAUUAACUAAAUUGCUGGGUGCACAAGCAAUAACACUGGUGCACCUAGCAUAAUGGAGAAGGAGCAAUGUGUGAUGAUUAAAGGGAUCCCAUAGAAAACCCUAUGGCUAUGGGGUUCUGGGUGUUUCUUUUUACACUUUCUAAUUAUAUAAGUAGCGGAGACCAAAAUUUUUUGUAAACACAUUAUAAGUAAUUCUUUUAAAACAAAAUUUUGUAAAAACUUCCACACGGAGCAAGAACAGUUAACACAUUAUUUACACACUUGUAAAUUUUGUAAAAAAAUUACACACUAUAAGUAAUUCUUUUGAAUUUUUUACAAAAUAAUAUUUUUAAGUCAUAAAAUUUCCACACUAAUAAUAAUAAUAAAUCUAUCUUAUAUUGAUACCAAUAUCUUGAAGUAUUUUAAAAUAAUAAAUAAAUAUUAUGAGUAAUAUAAUAGUUAAAAUAAAAAGUGUAAUAUAAAAAUAUCCAAAAAAUGAGUGAAAAUAAUAUUAUCUAUCAUUAUUAAUAUCUUAUGUAAUAAAAUGGUUAAAUAAAAAAACCUUAUUUAAUAUAUAAAAAAAGUAAAACAUAAUAAAAUCCUACCUUAUGAGUAGAAGGGAAGCAAUAUAUAAAUUCUUACAUUGUCUAGAAAAGGGUAAAAUUCAACAAAAAACUUUAAGAAUAAAAGAAAAAUAAAAUAUAAACUUUGAAGCUAGUGUUUUAAAAACUUGCUUGAAGUAGAGUCUUAAAAAAAUACUAUAAUUUAUUAAAAAAAAUUAAUUACCAAACAAUUUAAAUUAGAUUAAACAAGUUAUUUAAUUAAUAAAUAAUACUAAAAAUUAACUAAAAUGACAUAUCAAACACAACUUUUAAAUAUGGAUUGUAAAAAUAGGUAGUCUUAGUGAAGAUUACUAGUAGGAUCUCGUGAGGAUAUUGCACACCAGUGGAGACCACAAUAUAAGUGAAACAAACUAAAAAAUUUGUUUUUGUUUCUUUUCAUAAUUAAAGAAUAAUAUAUUUUUUCUAUUAGCAUUGCAAGUUAAAAGGCUUACUCGUAUGUAUUAUCAACAACAAGCCAAGAGCCAGCAUUCUUGCAAAGAUCUGAAAUCCUCUGAUCAAAUAAGAGAAAAUACUCAGAAAUUUUAUAAUUUUUUUUAUAAGAAAAACUACUGCUACUGUUAUGGUCAAUCAGCAUAUUGUUUGGGAAUAUUAUCUGGUGGCCACACAGGAAGAUUAAAAAAAGAAGCAGUUCUAAAGUCAUACCAGCGGUUGAUAAUUUCAGUGGGAGAGAGAGACCUUUAGAAGGGGGCUCUGGAAUAUAAGUUCCAAAUUUCAUAGAGCAAAUAAGUUAAUUCAUUGGUCACCGAGAUCCAAAUUUCAUAGAGCAAAUAAGUUAAUUCAUUGGUCACCGAGAUCCAAAUUUCAUAGAGCAAAAUAAAUUAUCAUAGAGCAAUUGCAUACAAAAGGCCUAAUAUAAAAGCAAUUAAUUUCUAAUUUUUAUUUAUUUUUAAAAUAAAGUAACAUCCAAAACAUAGGGUGAGACCUGGAUGGAUUACAGCUAUAAGUAACAUCAUGUGAUUAUGGAAAGUAAAAACAAUGCAUGUCCAAGAAUUUUGACGGAUGAAGGAAAAAAGACAGAUGAUGAUAUUCAGGAAAAACUUACACUAUAUAAAAUGUACAGCUAGUCAGAUGUAUUGAUGAUGAUGAUGAUGAUGAUGAUGAUGAUGAUGAUGAUGAUGAUGAUGAUGAUGAUGAUGAUGAUGAUGAUAAAUGUAUGCUUUUUUUAUAUUUGAAAUCUACUGAUCCCAUAAUUCAAAGACGUUAAUCAUAACUAAUUACUAUUUCAUAAGCGGCAUACAUUAAUUUCUAAUUUCAAAUGACUGCUAAAUCCUUUAGCAACUAAAGCUGAUGCUUACCUCCAAAUAGUGAGACAGGACAAUCAAAGUC
rnacentral:lncRNA from 1 species